UACGGAGGGUGCCAGCGUUAUCCGGAUUCACUGGGUUUAAAGGGUGCGUAGGUGGGCAGGUAAGUCAGUGGUGAAAUCUCCGGGCUUAACCCGGAAACUGCCAUUGAUACUAUCUGUCUUGAAUACCGUGGAGGUGAGCGGAAUAUGUCAUGUAGCGGUGAAAUGCUUAGAUAUGACAUAGAACACCAAUUGCGAAGGCAGCUCACUACACGAAUAUUGACACUGAGGCACGAAAGCGUGGGGAUCAAACAGG
rnacentral:rRNA from 1 species